rnacentral:rRNA from 1 species
UACAGAGGCCUCAAGCGUUGUUCGGAUUCAUUGGGCGUAAAGGGUGCGCAGGCGGUCGGGUAAGUCGGAUGUGAAAUCCCGGGGCUCAACCUCGGAACUGCAUUCGAAACUGCCCGGCUGGAGGGCCGGAGAGGAGAUCGGAAUUCACGGUGUAGCAGUGAAAUGCGUAGAGAUCGUGAGGAAGACCCGUGGCGAAGGCGGAUCUCUGGACGGCUAACUGACGCUGAGGCGCGAAGGCCAGGGGAGCAAACGGG